CCGGGGGCGGCCGCUUUUCUUUCUUCGGUGUAUUUUCUUCCAAGGCAACUUCACCAGUGAAAGUGCAGCGUCGAGCUCUGAUUGCUCCUUGUGCGGAUGGUGUCUGUCCUCGGCCGUGCGCACAGCAGCUUUCAGGCGAGGAAUGGGACUAUUCCAGGGUGAGGACAAAAAUUUUGAGCCUGUUCCCAGAACGGAAAGAGCACAGGAAUUCCGUGGAGUUUCAUGGUGGGGGUGAAAGGUCCCAACACAAGGGUGCUGUGCUGACAAGCAGUGGAAAAUAUGCAAUGCCAGCUCUUAAUGCGACAAAGAUUGCCUGAGCUGCCAGGGACCUGACCAACUGUUCAGGAUCUCCCCCCAAGGGCAGGAGGGCUGCAAGAGAAGGAAGCAGAGCAGAUGUGAACACCCACUGCCUGCAGAGACUCCCAGGACCCCCCUCCAGACCAUGCCAGCCCCACCCAUCUCUAUUUCCCUGGCCAGGAGGAGCAGGUCGCUGAGCUUCCUCCACGCCAGGAACUCUGCACAGGUGAGGAGGGUGUCCCUAGAGGCCUGCAGAGAAGCAGAGGCUGGGAGAUGGCACCACAGCUCAGGGACGAGACCUGGCAUCCUCCUCCGCUUGGCCAGGCUCCGAGCCCUUCCCAGCCCCUUACGGGAAGAGGCAGUGGGGGACAGAGACUGAACCGGGUUCAGUGCUGAGGGCAGGGACACGGGGCGGGCACCGCCUCAGGUAUCUCACGCUGCCGGCCAGCAGAACAGAGAUCCUCAAGAGCUGCCGAGCUCCUGCCAGGGAUGGGGCAGACUGAAGGGCAAGGGAGGAGUGCGCCCACGGCUGUAGGCAGCGAGGGCUGGAGUCCCAGAGCCCCUGGGGCAGGACGGAGCCAGCAGCACCUCCCCAUGGGCAUCCUCCAGCAGGACGCUUGGCUGCCCAGCUGGGGCUGCCCCAGCUCCUUCACGCCCAGGCUCCGGACAGGCAGAGCUUUGAUCCCACGAUGCAGUGCCAGGCCCCUUCUGGCUGCAUCUUCUUUCCCACUGCUCUCCCUGCCCCAGGCUGGGGAACAAGCUGGCUCUCCACCCCUUGGGAGUGCUGCACCUCUCUGCAGAGGCCAAGUUCACCAGCCCUAGGUGAGGGCACCUGCGUGAGCAGGGCUUUGUUUCUGCAGCGCUCCUGCUCUCAGGGAGCUGGGACACGCCCUGGCCCAAACAGCUGGGGGUCUCUUGGGCGCAGCCCUGGGGGACAGGGGUUGGGGCUCAAAGCCCAGGCCUCCCACACCUGCGGGGACAGCUGGGAAGCCUGUAGGGACUCGUGUGCUUGGUGGCCAUGGGCUGCUGCUGAGCCUUGCUGGAGCAGGCAGGGCAGG